GCUGCAGUCAUCCAAUCCAAUCCAAGCUCUAGCCAUCGUCGCCACGCCAUUUUUCAUUCUGCGGUCGUUUUUAGGGUAAGGGCAGCGGAGCAGCGUUUGUCACCUUCCGUGCCUGCUGAAGUCUCCUACUCAGCUACCAAGGUGCCAGGAUGCCUAGACUGCGGGAGAAGCCGCACGCGCGAAAAAGAGCGUCGCUGGAAACAAAGACGAUAUUCGAGGACUUCGGAUCUCGCACCGGCAGCCAGCAGUCAACAGCUCGAGAAUUUGCAAGUCUAGAACUGUGCAGUGGCGCGCAUACCCCGCACGCAUGCAUUAACAUGUGCGUUCGGGCUGUCCCUGCAAACAUUUGUACGCCUUGUGAUGCUGGUCGCUGCACCGAGGCGACAUCGGAAGUUCAGGACGGUGGUUGUGACACUACGUGCAGUAAGGACAAUGUGCCUUGCUUCCCUGACGGAUAUACUCUACGUGACGCUUCGGAUGGUUCACUUCGCUGUGAGAACGGAACAGGAUCCCUUAGGAGAGGUGUACGCACAAGUCAAUGCGGGUUUUCUGGUAAGCAGGACCCCGGAGUCUACAUUUGCUUUAGCUACCGCGGACUCGUCAUCGGCGCCCUUUGAUUCUCCUGGCAAACAGCUUCUCCUGGCUAAUGCGCUCAUGAUCAGAGCUGUAGCCGUCAGUAGCGGCAAGAUCGCCUGCUGAUCUCUACGAAAAUAAAAAGCUCCUUUUAAAAAAGUGAAGAA